GCUAAGAUCAAGUGUAGUAUCUGU
rnacentral:piRNA from 4 species